AUGCUUCUCCUAAAGACUAAGCCAUGCAUGCCCCGAAUAUGAGGAAGCAAUUCUCUCUGAAUCUGCGAACGGCUCCGCAAACCAGUUGUAAACCAAAGCAAGCUUGCUCGGGUUGGGCUUCGGCCUGGCCUGGGUGAUACGGAUAACCCUGGUAAUUCUAAGGCUAAUACGUGUAUGUAACACCCGGUGGACCGGCUUCGGCUGGGAAAUCGGGAGACGAGUGAUGGAAUGUUUGGAUUACCAGGAACGGGCA
rnacentral:rRNA from 1 species